UCUCAGCUUGUUUCCAUUAAACGCGCGAUCACUAGCACAGAGUGGACGUUUGUCAGUAAACUCUCUCGAAGUCGCGACCCCUCUCCUCGGGUACCAGUUUGUAGGAGUUUGAGAGUGAUCCUAUCGCCAGUAGCGCGACAACCUCUGUCAAAACAGGACCGGAAUGCCAGGGGACAGCAACAGUAACUGACUGCUUCUCAAGUGGGAAUACUCUUUUCUAUCGUCUCCCAGUGCUCAGUGAACCACGGAUUGCCGUGAAUCCUUUUCACACCAGCUACACCAUCAAGCAUGCCGAGCGACUGAUGAAAGUCCACUAUCAACAUCGAAAUGAUUCCUUCUCUAUCUGUACAGAAGGAUUGGGAAUGUAGGAACGGUAUAGAGAUCGAGAAAUGCUUGAGGAAAUUUCUUCCAAUAUGAUAAGGCAGAAUCUAUUCGAUACGAGCCUUGGGUAAUCUUCUUACUGCGCAGUAUAAUAACAUGCCCUGUCAAAAAGGAUAAGGCGAAAUUUAUUUUCCGAACCAUUAUGUAAGAUUACAAAAAAGGAUGAACAAUAGAAACCACAGUAACCUUCAUAUGUGGCUGGAAAGAUAGUUUUGUUGAAAAAAUUCAGUAAAGAAUCUAUUCUUUGUGCUCAGUACCAUCCAAUGAAUUAAUGA